rnacentral:ncRNA from 1 species
AAAAGUUUGAUUUUAGCUUAAAUUUUACUAUAACUUUGGUUUACAUGUGAAUUUUUGUGUGAAUAAUUAUUAUUUUAAAUAAAUUUUUAUUUUUAUUCGCAGUAUUUGAUAUUGAAUAUUGAGGUUACUCAGAUUUGGUAAAAGGUGAAGUACAGGAUAAAUUUGUGCCAGCAUCUGCGGUUAUACAAAUUGUACAAGUAAAAUUUUUUGGUGGAUAGUUAAUUUUUUUUUGCAAAGGUUUAUAAAUAAAUUUUUUAGGUGAAAUUUAAUUUUAUUAAAUACUUUUUAUAAUAAUGAAGCUGUGAAAUUUUUUUCUAAAACUAGGAUUAGAUACCCUAUUAUUAAAAAUGUAAAUUUUAACCAAGGUAGUAAUAGAUAUGAUCUUGAAACCUAAAAAAUUUGGCGGUGUCUUAGUCUAUUUAGAGGAACCUGUUCCGUAAUCGAUAGUCCACGAUGAAUUUUACUAGAUCUUAUUUAGUUUAUAUACCGUUGUUAUCAGAAUAUUUUAUAAGAAGAUAAUUUUCUAUAAUUUUUAUAAAAAUUUAUUUCAGAUCAAGGUGUAGCUUAUGAUUUAGAGGAAAUGGGUUACAAUAAAUUUAUUUAAAUGGAUUUGGAAUUGAAAAAUUUUAUUGAAGGUGGAUUUAAUAGUAAAUUAGAUUAUAUUAUUUAUUUGAUUAUAGCUUUAAGACAUGUACACAUCGCCCGUCGCUCUUUUUAAUUAAAGAUAAGUCGUAACAUAGUAGAUGUACUGGAAAGUGUAUCUAGAAUG